rnacentral:rRNA from 1 species
UACGUAGGGGGCAAGCGUUGUCCGGAUUUAUUGGGCGUAAAGAGCGUGUAGGCGGUUUGGUAGGUCCGCUGUGAAAACUCGAGGCUCAACCUCGAGACGCCGGUGGAAACCAUCAGACUAGAGUCCGGAAGAGGAGAGCGGAAUUCCUGGUGUAGCGGUGAAAUGCGCAGAUAUCAGGAGGAACACCGAUGGCGAAGGCAGGUCUCUGGGCCACUACUGACGCUGAGAAGCGAAAGCAUGGGGAGCGAACAGG